rnacentral:piRNA from 1 species
UGCAAAUUUGAAGGUCACCUACCUCCAGGU